rnacentral:rRNA from 1 species
AUGCAGCCGCCAUCGCAGUACCACCAGUCCUCCUACUACGCCGUGCUCGGCGUCCACCCAGGCGCGUCCGCCGCCGAGAUACGCGCCGCGUACCACCGCCUCGCCAUGAGGUGGCACCCGGAUAAGAUUGCCAAUGGCCGUGUGGAUCCGGCGAUCGCGGAGGAAGCCAAGGGAAGGUUCCAGAAGAUACACGAGGCAUACCAGGUGUUGUCGGAUCAGAAGCGGAGGGAGCUCUAUGACGCCGGGAUGUACGACCCCCUCGACGACGACCAAGAAGAGGUCGAGGGCUUCCAUGAUUUCCUUCAGGAGAUGCUCUCGCUCAUGGCCACCGUUGGUAGAGAGGAGCCCGUGUAUUCCCUGGGCGAACUCCAAUCCAUGCUUGACGGGAUGAUGCAGGAUUUCAGCUCCCCCCAACCGCCACCACCAAGCAGCUUCUUCAGCAGCACCAGUUCGUCGACGCGGUUCAGCGCACCCAGCGGCGGAGCGCAGCAGCAGCGUCGACCCCCCUCCCGCGUACGGCCUCAGGGGUUCGGCAGCUCGGCAUGCUUCAGCCAAACGGCUUUCUCCGGCUGCUAA